rnacentral:rRNA from 1 species
UACAGAGGGGGCGAGCGUUGUUCGGAAUUACUGGGCGUAAAGGGCUCGUAGGCGGCCAACUAAGUCGGACGUGAAAUCCCUCGGCUUAACCGGGGAACUGCGUCCGAUACUGGAUGGCUUGAGUUCGGGAGAGGGAUGCGGAAUUCCAGGUGUAGCGGUGAAAUGCGUAGAUAUCUGGAGGAACACCGGUGGCGAAGGCGGCAUCCUGGACCGACACUGACGCUGAGGAGCGAAAGCCAGGGGAGCAAACGGG